UCAUGACCUGAGCCGAAGGCAGACGCUUAUCCGUCUGAGCCACCCAAGUGCCCCUGUUUUCCUCAUUUAUAACAUGUACUUCACCUGUAGAGAGUGAUGAGCUAACGGAUCAAUCAUAACCCCUGUAAAACAGGCACUUUGUUAGUUUCUCUCUUUUUAUGGAGUUUAGUUGCUGAAUGGCCAACACAGAACAACAGCUGCCAGUUUUUAACUAAGGAGUAUCGAUCUAUUGACAUUUAUAGAUGGCUGAAGGAAGCACAUGCUGUCUCCAGAAUUGUUACUUAGAUACAGACAAUACCAUGCUGAUAGGCUGGGGAGGAUGACAUUGUGACCUAAGUACUUUUCCAUGUUGGUGAUAGCAUACCACCAGAGAGUGUCAUUUAGAAUAAAUGAAAUGCAGUCAACUUUCUUAUUCAGAAAUCGAUUAUCCAGGUUGUGAAUUAUCUAGACUUUUGCAUUACCUUUUUUUUUUUUUUUAAGAUUUUACAUAACCUCCACACCCAACGUGGGGAUCAAACUCACAGCCCUAAGAUCAAGAGCCCCAUGCUCCACUGACUGAGCCAGCCAGGCGCCCCUGCAUUGCUUCUGUUAUGUUGCCAAUGGUCUGGAGAAAAAUGAAAGUAAACCUCAUAUUUAGCUGGUAGUGGAAAAAUAUAAAUCUGGUAUUCAGACCUCUGUUCUCUUUCCAGCUCUACUGUAAAUUUGCUGUGGACCUUUGGCAACACAUAGCCUCUCUGGGUCUAGCACUCUUAAAGAUAGAAGAUUCCAGUAUAAAAACUUUAUGACUAUACUUUUUAUCUUUAUUGGCAGAAUUGUAAAUCAAAUUGUAUAUUAAAUGAACAGGAGUUUAUAAUGGAAUUUAGUAGAAAAUCUUUUCUAAAGCUUUUGCUUUAGAAUUAGACUAUAAAUCCCUUCACAGACAUCUCUGGAAUUUUGUCAUGCAUGAUGUUGGGAUCUUUAAAAAAAGAAGUUUUUGAACCAUAAAUGCUUCUCCAUUCCUGUAUUUCAAAAACAAGCUCCUCCAAACCAAAACUUGUUCAAGUUUGCUUUCUUGUACAGCCGAGUCUUUAAAGCAAGCAUAGUGGAAAAUGAACUGCUUAUUGAAAGUCCAUGGUUGAAACUUAACUAUAUAGAAGCCUUUAUUUUUUUCAUAGGUUAACCUAAGUCUUCUUGGAUGUGAAAAUAAUGUUGGACUGCGCUUAGGUAUAUAAGGAUGUGAAAUGCAAUGAUGCGAUGAUGAGUGAAGUAUAGUCUGACCUGGUAUUGCCAUUGCCUCAGUUCUGGCUCUGACCAGGGUUGAGGUGAAAAAUCUGGCUUUGAUAUCUUCGUGGAGGACUACCUUAUUUCAAUCCUGAAUCUGGUUCAGUUUUCUUAUUGACUUAUUACUGUAUUAAAAAUGUUUGUUUAAUUAA